CAGCGCCACAGGUGGUGGCCAUUUUUAUUGGGCCUAAAGCGUCCGUAGCUGGUCAAAUAAAUCUUCUGUGAAAUUGUCUAGCUUAACUAGACAGCGUGCAGGGGACACUGUUUGACUCGAGACCGGGAGGGGUCAGAAGUAUUCCUAGGGGAGCGGUAAAAUGCAAUAAUCCUGGGAAGACUACCUGUGGCGAAGGCGUCUGACUAGAACGGUUCUGACAGUAAGGGACGAAAGCCAGGGGAGCGAACCGGAUUAGAUACCCGGGUAGUCC
rnacentral:rRNA from 1 species